GACGAACGCUGGCGGCGUGCCUAAUACAUGCAAGUCGAACGCAUUUUCUUUCACCGUAGCUUGCUACACCGAAAGAAAAUGAGUGGCGAACGGGUGAGUAACACGUGGGUAACCUGCCCAUCAGCGGGGGAUAACACUUGGAAACAGGUGCUAAUACCGCAUAAUUCCAUUUACCGCAUGGUAAAUGGAUGAAAGGCGCUUUUGCGUCACUGAUGGAUGGACCCGCGGUGCAUUAGCUAGUUGGUGGGGUAACGGCCUACCAAGGCUGCGAUGCAUAGCCGACCUGAGAGGGUGAUCGGCCACACUGGGACUGAGACACGGCCCAGACUCCUACGGGAGGCAGCAGUAGGGAAUCUUCGGCAAUGGACGCAAGUCUGAACGAGCAACGCCGCGUGAGUGAAGAAGGUUUUCGGAUCGUAAAACUCUGUUGUUAGAGAAGAACAAGGAUGAGAGUGGAAAGUUCAUCCCUUGACGGUAUCUAACCAGAAAGCCACGGCUAACUACGUG
rnacentral:rRNA from 1 species